CUAUCUAAUCAUGUAUAAAAUAAAUUGGGUUCACUAGAAUACUUUCUAAGACUGAAAGGUUGAAACCUGUCCUCUAUCAAAUCACAGAUCAACCCCAACCUGCUCUGAGUAUCUCUCCUCAGUGGCUGAACCCUGGGGCCUCGGUGAUGCUGAGCUGUGGGGUUAAAGAGUUGUCUACAGGCUGGAGGUUCUCCUGGUACAGGACUGUUCCCUACAGAGCUGGGUUACCCUCCCUAUCAGACAAGUCUUACUCUCUACAGCCCAUAUCUGACAAUGUGACUAGUGAAGACUCCUACACUCUGAUCCCUGCUGGUGCUACUCCCACAGGAUGAUAUGUGUGUAGAGCUGGGAGAGGAGACCCAGUCUAUCAUACACUCUACAGUCAACCUCAGUUUCUCUGGUCAGGAGAUCUGCAGCCUUCAGUGUCUCUUACAGUAAAUCCCAACACAACUCAACACUUUACAUCAAAGUCUCUCUCACUGAGCUGUGAGGAGAAGGGGAACUCUACUGGAUGGAGACUGAUGAGAUACACAGAGAGAGGAGUAGAGUCAGGGUGUGUCUCUAACUGGAGAUCAAUAACAGAAUCCACCUGCACCAUCACAUCAUUGGACACAUGGUACAGUGUAGUGUUCUGGUGUGAGUCUGGAUCAGGAGAGUACAGUAAUGCUGUCAACAUCACAGUAAAUGAUAUCAGGAAACAAAUCCUAAACUCAAGACUGAUUUCUACAAAGAUGGAGUACUCAUCAAGAAUGAGACCACAGGAGAGAUGACCAUCCCUACAGUAUCCAAGUCAGAUGAAGGAUUCUAUAAGUGUAAAUCUGGUCAAGGAGAAUCACCAGAGACCUGGGUGACAGUGAGAGUCCCUCCAGGUUCCGUUGUCUCCAUCUCUCUGACCAGGCUGCUGUGUGGUCUACUGGUGGUGUCUCCAUUUCUACUGGUGUCCAUCGUGCUGACGGUGAAAUGCUGCAGGGCUCGAGGUUUGUGUUCAACAGUCACAUCUCCUCAAGACCAGAUACCAUGUGAUGAUGUCAUUGAACAGAAUGAAUCAUCAGUGUGAUCAUUACAGUAUGAACUGUAAGCUGAACAACCAUUUUUAUGAUUAAGGUUUUACCAUUGAUAUAUGAUAGUGUUUACUGAGUUUAAUAUCACUGAAUGGAAUUUCAGAAAUGCUGAAUAUUAUGAGUUUCUAAGUUGACGUUCUCAGCUUUUGCUGGCUUGUAUGCUUUCCUUUGUAUUGUUGAUGUUGAUUUUCAUGAAAUAUUACACUUACCUGUCUUUAUUUCAGUUUGUUAAUUAAACAAGAGUGUAGUGCCUGUUUUUGUUUAAAAGUAGCAUUUUUUUGUGUGUUGUAUUUUACAUAAUGUCAUGUUUUUUACAUGCGGGUGGGAAUAGAGUAUACAGUAUGUGAAACUUCUCAGUUUUUAAUUUGAAUUUAAAAUACUAAAUAUGUGUUUAUUCUUGAUAUGCCGACCUGCUCUAACAGUUGAGUUGGAACACGUAGCUAUAGUUUGUUAUUAAAAAUGUAUAUUUACAUAAUGCGCUUUAAUGCUUAUUUUUAUAUUAAAGGAAGACUCAGCGAAAUGACGUUGCCACAAGUAGCAUCGCAGAUAUUGAAAGUACUGUACAUAAAGUACUGUACCUGCGCAUAUGCACGGGUUCACUUCACGCUGUUCACAGUGUGGUAGCCACAGGAUCAAAACAGCAGAGAAGUUGAGCCUCAAGCUUCAACACUUAGUUGUGGAAAUUGAACCACUAUUUAUUUAUUUUCUGCAUCUGUCAUAUCACUGAGUCUACCUUUAAAAUGAACUUACUUUUGACUUAUAUUUAUUUUGAAAUACUGUCUACUAAAUAUAUUGUAAAAAAAAGUUUUACAGCAGAUAUACAUUUUUAACAUGUAAGUGCUGUAAAAUAAUUUCAGUAGUUAAAGGAGCCAGAUGAAUGUUCCACUGUGGAACUUAAAAAUGGAGAAGAUGUGACGUAUUUUGUACUCAUUCUCAUACAGUGGGGCAAAAAAGUAUUUAGUCAGCCAUCAAUUGUG